CGGGAAGCCAACUGCAGUUCCUUGAAGGGAGGAGCUUCAGCAAUUUUCAAGACAGAGAAAAAGGUUCUUCAAUCAUAGGAACAGUUUAUAUUCAAGUUUUCUUCAGAAGGCUCACAAGAAAUUGAAAGAGAAAAGGAAGGUAUACAUUUGCCAGAAAAUUAGAAUGAGAGAGAUGGGGAAGGAAAAGGAAAUAUGGUCUUACAAAAACUGUGUCCCCAUGGCAAUGUGGCAGCAAAAACGAACCCCAAGACCUCCAGACAUUGUCUCAUUCUUGCAUCAGUGAUCAUAUCCAAUGGGAAAUGGUUUGCCAAUUGGCUGGCCAGAGAUACCUGGUCAAAUUCUGAAAGAAGUAGAAUUAAGGCAUGUAAUUAAUAGUUUUAAAAGAUGGAAAAUAUAGAAAUGCUAAAAGAAAAGAGAAAUUCUGCUGUUAGGAGAAGAGCAAAGAAUGUGUUUUAUAAAACAACAUAGAGAAUUAUUGUUGAGAGAUUCUUCAUCUAGUUCUUUCUGUUUGUUAUAUAAUAAUGUAUACUGCCUUAAGAACAGAAAAUCAGAAUAGACAUGGAAUUUACUUAGUGUAAAUUCAGACUCCCUAG
ensembl:lincRNA